rnacentral:ncRNA from 1 species
AACGACCGGUCGGACGCGUAUGCCUCACGGCUCACGUGCCGGCCCACAAGUGGAGGCUUUCGAACUCCCACCUGACCGCCCCCCGGGCGGCGGGUCACCGGUCAGACGGCCCCGUCCCGGCGACGGCGGUCCGUCCGAACAGCGCGCCCCGUGGCCUCACGGCGGUCGCUCCGGUAGUUCGAGGAGCCCCGCCUGUGAUCGUCCGGGGCAUUUUUC